AGAGUGAACGCUGGCGGUAGGCCUAACACAUGCAAGUCGAACGGCAGCACAGUAGGAGCUUGCUCUUACGGGUGGCGAGUGGCGGACGGGUGAGGAAUACAUCGGAAUCUACCUUUUGGUGGGGGAUAACGUAGGGAAACUUACGCUAAUACCGCAUACGCCCUUCGGGGGAAAGCCGGGGACCAGCAAUGGCCUGGCGCUGAUAGAUGAGCCGAUGUCGGAUUAGCUAGUUGGUGAGGUAAUGGCUCACCAAGGCGACGAUCCGUAGCUGGUCUGAGAGGAUGAUCAGCCACACUGGAACUGAGACACGGUCCAGACUCCUACGGGAGCAGCAGGUAGGGAAUAGUUGGAACAAGUGGGCGACAGCCUGACUCCGAGCCAUACCGGCGUAGGGU
rnacentral:rRNA from 1 species